CUCAGAUGUUAACAUCCAGAUAAUGAUGUGUAUUACGAUAUCGUGCAUGUUGAAAUACUGAUUGGAAUAAACCAGAAGAAAGAUUGAAGAUGUUUUAAGAAGAUGCGCUAUUAGGGACAUGAUUUCUCUGAGGAAACAGGGAUUUCAGAGAUGGUCCAUAAAAAUUAUAGGACAUUUUUCUUUACUGUGGGGUCUAGAUUCAGGCAAGUUUCUAACAUUUACUACUGCAAUCAAAAGUUUAUUUUAGAUUGGGAGUAAAUUUUGGAAACUGAAAAUAUCUUGUUUGGGAAAUGUUCAUUUCAAAAGUAAGCUUUUUGUUAGGUCUCUCUCUUUUUUUAAAAUAAAUUUAGUAUUAAUUUACUUUCAGUUAUCUUAAAUGUAUCUAAUUGAUACAUGCAUUUGGUCUAUCAGAUUUUCUUAUAAUUUUGUGAGAGAAAAAUAUAAAGUGAUAGGGUGUCUGAAAAAUUUUUGUCAUAAACGUGUUAUAUCUUCAGAGGACUUGAAGCCUUUAAAAAGCUUUCUCUUAGAGAUUUAUCUUUUCACACUUUAGAUGCAUUUGCCUUUUCUAAAGCUAGGUAUCAAGACAAAGAGGUUCUGCUGAACAUGCAAUAUCCAGUCUGUCAUGGGAAGCUUUGCUGCCAUUUCUGUGAAAUCUCCUUUUUGGAUAUGAUCCAUCCUAGAAUAGAAAAAAAACAAAACAAAAAAAAAACAAAAAACUUACAACC